rnacentral:rRNA from 1 species
UUAGUAGCUGCUUGUGCAGUUGAUGCACACGGUUUUGUAUUUCCAGUUGCCUACGAUGUGCUGGAGACAGAGUCUGGGGAGAGCUGGACUUGGUUUUUGCAUAAUCUGCGCCGGGCUAUUGCACAUCCCAAUGGGUUGGUCAUUCAUACAGAUGCCUGCAAAGGUUUAGAAGUGGUCGUGGACAAUGUGUUCCCUGGAGUAGAGCAUAGGGAAUGCAUGCGUCACCUUGCUGCAAAUUUCAUGAAGAAAUUCAAAGGAAAGGUGUAUACUGACAAUUUAUGGCCAGCAUCUUUGACUUGCAGUGUGAAGAAGCACAACUACCACUUGAGGCAGUUAUACAUGAAUCCCAAAGUGAAAGAAUACUUGGAAACACACCACUCCAAGUUAUGGGCCAGAAGCCAAUUCAGUGAACUGAGCAAAGUUGACUAUGUGCACAAUAAUCUAGCAUAG